rnacentral:sRNA from 1 species
AGACUUGUCGCUUCAAGGUGCAAAUAACAUGGGUAAUCCUAGAUCGCAAAAAGAUGUCUGUAAUCAAUCGAACACCCCUAAUUAGAUUUCACCAGGAAGUGUCUCGUGAUUGUUCCAGGGUAUUUAUAAAUCACCAGCCAAUUUAUCCCCGCGACAAGCUUGGCCUGGAAUCGGCUGCUGUUUUAAAUAUUUCAUUACCAAUCCAGAUCGUCUCGCAUUAAUCCUGAUCUUGAGCGUGGUAAGUGGUUAUACCAGCAUAUCUCCAAUCUCAUUCGAAUUAAAAACUUACCGCCUUUAUUUAGUGAACGGUACACCAGAGUCGGAGAUUUGUGGUCGCUGAAAGGAGAGGAAAUCGGGGUCCAUUUGAUUACUGUAUUUACAUGAUAUCGGUGAUUUCCCCGGAUGUUUUGUUACCAAAGUAAGGCCAAUCGAUAAAAAGUUUUCAUCACGGAAAAAUAAAGCUGUCCCACUGGGCCUCAUCAGCUGCCAUAAGUGAACAUACUGAAUUCCUGCAAUACUAUAAAGUCAAAGUGUUCCCCAAACUCGAUUUGAUGCAGAUGAUUGGGUCAAAACAUGUCAUUUCACACUUUGACUUAAGAAAAUCAAUAGCAAAUGUUUCUGAUACGGUAGAAUAAAAAGAGAAAUAGUC